rnacentral:rRNA from 1 species
UGGUGGAUUGAUUUGUCUGGUUAAUUCCGUUAACGAACGAGACCUCAGCCUGCUAAAUAGUUGAACAAACCGGCUGCCGGAGAAAGUGGUUUGUGCGAUGUGUGGGUUUAGGCCUGCGCUCCACGGCUGUGGGAUCCAUGCUGCGUUUGUUAAAAUUCAAUCAACUUCUUAGAGGGACUAAUGUGUGUUUAACCAUUGGAAGUUUGAGGCGAUAACA